UAGUCCACUCUAUGAAAUGAAUACUAUUAUAGAUGAGUAAACAGGGGUUUAGGUAAUUUAAGCAAUUUCCUCAGAUACAUGCAGAAGGCAUGACGCAGAGUAAAUGUCCCCAGGCUGACUGUGGGUAAGCUGAUGUCCUCUGAUCCUGGGUUCACACGCAAGCACAUACACACACAUGCACACACACACGCAAGAAGCCUCUCUUUUAAGCCUUCUAAGCCUGUCGGGUAUUUCUGGGCCCAUUUUAUAGAUGAGGAAACUGAAUUUCAACUGAACCAUCUCUUGAGCUCUUUUAAGGUUAUGAGCCAGACCUUUCCACGGUGCAGAGCAUAAGAGAUCUCUGAUGCCUCCCACCCCCACCCCCCGAGUCUCUGCCUCCCUGGGCCGGAUCAAGCUGGGACAUGGUGUUAGCAAGCGGCCGUGCGCAGGGCUGUGUAUGGCUUACUGUGUAUGACUUUCGGCUCUAAAAGCUCAUCUCCCUCCACGGCUAAACCAGGCCUAGUGAGAUGUAGAUACAUAAAUAUCUUCUUUACGCCCUGUCCCAGGGGAAAGAUAGAACCAAAUAAAUCCGAUUAGCUUCCCAGGAUACUAGCUGCUCUCUCUCUUUGAAGUCCAGUGGGUGAAGAUAAUGCCAUUUCCGCAUGGGAGACGUCGUUUCGGAGGGCCGAAGGGGCCUCCGUGCUGAGCAGCACAGCUAAACAGAGUGGGCGACGCGGUCCCGAGCAGCGCGGGGCUCCCACGCCAGGGUCCUGCCUUCCCCGGAGCCGGGGCUCCUCCUCCCCAGCCCACCCCCGCCCCUGGGAUGUUCCCAGAUAGGACAUCUGUUCCUCUGGACAGAAACUCAGAUUGCUGCCAAGGAGGUGAUCCUGCUGCCAAGUUGGCCUGGAGACAGAGAGAGGAGUUAAGAUGACCUAAAGACAGGGAGAAAAACGGUAGCAAUGGGCAUUUUAACACUGAUAGCCGUCUUAACAUUCUGCGGGGAAAGCAUAGCAGCAUAGCGUGGUUAUUUGCGCUUUCUUUCUUAGGACAGCAACUGUGUGUGUGUGUGUGUGUGUGUGUGUGUGUGUGUGUGUGUGCGCGCGCAAGCUCACAGAAACAAUGGAGUUGCAAGUGGCCUCAUUGUAUCUGAUGAAACCCAGUGGCCUUCCUCAAGGCCCUGAGGCACUGAAGUUCCCACGACUUAGCAGUGCUCCAGGCUGCUGGCUCUCCUGCACCUGCCCUCAGCCUUCACUCUUCCUGCUGCUGCCCAGAAAGCUUGCUGCUUCCUCCUUAAUGUAUUAUUCACCUGCGCCACUCACAACCCCAGACUUUUAGAUCCUCCCCUGCUUCCCAAGAAGAAGGCAGUGUACCUGACCCCCAACUCCUUCUUCCUUUACCCUAGAGAAUAAAAGAAAGAAUCUUACUCCUCGUGGCCUGAAAUUGCAAAAAAAAACAAACAAACAAACAAAACCAAAC